UGGGCAACCUGCCCCUCUCUCUGGGAUAACCCCGGGAAACCGGAGCUAAUACCGGAUACUCCGGCUGGAUCGCAUGGUCCGGCCGGGAAAGGUCCGCCGGAGAGGGAUGGGCCCGCGGCCUAUCAGCUCGUUGGUGGGGUCAUGGCUCACCAAGGCGACGACGGGUAGCUGGU
rnacentral:rRNA from 1 species